UCUAAACUCUUCCGUUUGUUAAAAUCAUACCCAUUUAUCCUAUAAAUUUUACAUGUUUAACUCACCCCGAAUUCCCUCUCUCAAUUCCACAACGAUCGCAUUAUCCAUAAGCCAACCGAUUCCACAACCAAUCGAUUGUCCCAGCUUAAAAUCUUGAUCACGAUUGAAUUCCUAGCUUACAGCAGUCAUUGUUUGACUCCGAUCUGAACUCAUCCUGAUCUUCCCCCUCUGCAAUCUCAAAAACACAGCCAUCCACCCUGAUAGCAAGCUACUCCAGCCAACUACACACCUGACCACUUUUUCAUGUUCCAGCCACCAGCUCCGUCUUCUUCACUCGGCGUCGCACUCUCCCUCCUCUCGUGCUCUUCCGUCGACGCUCUGCCGUAAUUCAAGUCCAAACGCCGCAGUAUGCGCCUUCCCACUUUGUCGCACAACUCUAUUUUUCUCGAGCGGACCUCUAUGCUUGUGCCUCACAUAAUAUCUGCCAUCUGCAUCAAAAUCUACGACUUCGAGGAGCGGAACUGCAGGUGGGACCACCAUGGUGAGAUUUCACAAAAUCUCAUGGCGGGCGACGGCAAGGGCGAUAUCUAAUAAUUUCAUCUAUAGGAAAGAGAGAGGAGGGAGCUUGUGAAGGAUGGCCAAUGAUGUUGUAUUUAUAUCUUGAGGAGAAAUCCAGUGUGGUCAAGUUUUUUUCUGGACCCUCCCCAAUGGGUGGUGUGAAUCACCCCUUUUGCAGCACAUCCAGUUUCCGGGUUUUCUCUAAACAAUUGUAUUGAAUAAAUAAGAUGAAUAGUGGCUGAUGAGAAGAAUUUUUCAAUAAAUAAAACAACAUUAAUCAGUUCAUUUUAAUUAUCAAAAAAAAUUAAUCAGUUCAUGCACUCCUCACAAUUUGUAUACAUAUGCACAUCAUAUAAAUUCUCCACUAUUUUGGAAGGAUAGUAGGGAAGUGAUGGUGGAAAGAGACA